GAACCCGGAGUAUACCCUGAAAGUGAUCAAUAAAGGCACUAUAUCUUUUGGGAUACGAGUGACGCGCGAGACUUGUAAAAGCUAACGUAGCCUUUUGUUUUGACUUUUGACUUUUUGGUCUUGUACUCGCGCUAUUCCUUGAAUGGAACAUGAUGUACUUGGAUUGUAUACGUUUUGAGCUAGUUUGGUGUAUUAAGACUUUGUACCCCGUUUUCUAUCAAUGUAAAUUAUAAGCUUGAAUUGUGAAUGUUAAUUAUGGUUCAUGGA